GACGUAGGAUGCAAGCGUUGUCCGGAUUUAUUGGGCGUAAAGAGUUCGUAGGUGGUUUGUUAAGUCUGAUGUUAAAGACUGGGGCUCAACCUCGGAAAUGCAUUGGAUACUGGCAGACUUGAGUGCAGUAGAGGCAAGCGGAAUUCCAGGUGUAACGGUGAAAUGCGUAGAUAUCUGGAAGAACACCGGUGGCGCAAGCGGCUUGCUGGGCUGUAACUGACACUGAGGAACGAAAGCUAGGGGAGCAAAUGGG
rnacentral:rRNA from 1 species